CCUACGGGAGGCAGCAGUGAGGAAUAUUGGACAAUGGGCGAAAGCCUGAUCCAGCAAUACCGCGUGAGUGAAGAAGGCCUUAGGGUUGUAAAGCUCUUUCAGCAGGGAAAAUAAUGAUGGUACCUGCAAAAGAAGUUCCGGCUAACUCCGUGCCAGCAGCCGCGGUAAUACGGAGGGAACUAGCGUUGUUCGGAUUUACUGGGCGUAAAGGGCGCGUAGGCGGUUUGUUAAGUUAGAAGUGAAAGCCUGGGGCUUAACCCCAGAACUGCUUCUAAAACUGGCAGACUAGAGUGUGGGAGAGGAUAAUGGAAUUCCUAGUGUAGAGGUGAAAUUCUUAGAUAUUAGGAGGAACACCGGUGGCGAAAGCGAUUAUCUGGAACACAACUGACGCUGAGGCGCGAAAGCGUGGGGAGCAAACAGGAUUAGAUACCCUGGUAGUCCACGCUGUAAACGAUGAAUGCUAGAUAUCGGAGUAAAAUUCGGUGUCGAAGAUAACUUGAUAAGNAUCGUCCGUGGGUAGGUACGGUCGCGAGAUAAACUACAAGAAGUAGACGGCGUGAGACGUGCCGACGACGACGACGAGGGAGAGG
rnacentral:rRNA from 1 species